rnacentral:rRNA from 1 species
GUGGGGAAUAUUGGACAAUGGGCGAAAGCCUGAUCCAGCCAUGCCGCGUGUGUGAAGAAGGUCUUCGGAUUGUAAAGCACUUUAAGUUGGGAGGAAGGGCAGUAAGUUAAUACCUUGCUGUUUUGACGUUACCGACAGAAUAAGCACCGGCUAACUUCGUGCCAGCAGCCGCGGUAAUACGAAGGGUGCAAGCGUUAAUCGGAAUUACUGGGCGUAAAGCGCGCGUAGGUGGUUUUGUAAGUUGGAGGUGAAAUCCCCGGGCUCAACCUGGGAACUGCCUCCAAAACUGCAUGACUAGAGUACGGUAAAGGGUAGUGGAAUUUCCUGUGUAGCGGUGAAAUGCGUAGAUAUAGGAAGGAACACCAGUGGCGAAGGCGACUACCUGGACUGAUACUGACACUGAGGUGCGAAAGCGUGGGGAGCAAACAGGAUUAGAAACCCGGGUAGUCC